CUUUGCACCGGAAGACGAAGUAUGUGUGUCCGACUCCGAGGCCAUAGUAUUGUGUGCUUUUCUGCUUAGAGAGUAUGUCUGUGAGAAAUAAAGAAGCUACUUUGAUAGACCUUGUGUUGUGUGUGCGUUUGACACGUGUCCCACUGCCGUACCGCCUGCUACAUGGAGCACCACAUGCUGGGCCGGAAGCCUCUCAUGCUCUCCACGGUCAAGCCCAGGCUGAUUUACUCCCUCUUCCUGAGGCCAUCCCUUAUGAGGGAAAUGUGAGACACAUCACUAUACACUCGGAUGGUGAUACACCAACCAUUAAUAAAUGCACCAACCGUGAACUUUUCCACUGUCCCUUUGCAAAUACGUGGGUGCAAAAUAUAUGGUUGACAACCAUAUAAAAGGCCAUUCUUCAGUAAAACAUAAAGGGUUCACCAUGAUCAAGUGUGGAUUAAGUUGUCGGACGGCAACGCAUUUUCAUUGUUGUUAUUGUACAGCAACAAUUAUAAAUCGAUU